rnacentral:lncRNA from 1 species
UCAUCAACAUUUUCCAUUUAUUAUUUUUUCUCUUUUGAUUUUUCACUUUCUGUUUCAUUAUGGAAAGGAAAUUCAGCUUGCCAGGGCAGCACAUGCCUUUAAUCCCAGCACUUGGGGAGGCAGAGCCAGAAGGAUCUCUAAGUUCCAGGCUAGCCUGGUCUACAGAAGAGACCCUGUCUCAAAAAACAAAACCAAACAAAGCCAAAAAACCAAAAAAACCCGACCAGCCAAAUCAACAAAACAAGAGAAAGAAAAGAAGUGCUAGGUGGACCUGUGGGCCUGCUUGUAUUAGCAUAAUACAAGCACUGGGUUUGAUUGAAAGACCCAAAGAAUAAGGGGAAAGAGUGAUUGAGGAAGGUUCCUGACAUCAGUCUUGGGACUUGUAUUCAUCAGGGUUCUCUAAAGGAGCAGAACUUUACGAGAUGAUCUCACACACACACAUAUGAAUGUACAUGUGUAUGUGUGUACGUAGGUAGGUAGGAAGGUAGAAAGGAAAGGAAGGAAGGAAGGAAGGAAGGU